rnacentral:rRNA from 1 species
AUACAUAGGUGACAAGCGUUAUCCGGAUUUACUGGGCGUAAAGGGCGUGUAGGCGGUCUUGCAAGUCAGAAGUGAAAUUCCUGAGCUCAACUCGGGCGCUGCUUCUGAAACUGCAGGACUUGAGUGCUGGAGGGGAUAGCGGAAUUCCUAGUGGAGCGGUAAAAUGCGCAGAUAUUAGGAAGAACACCGGUGGCGAAGGCGGCUAUCUGGAAAGUAACUGACGAUGAGGCGCGAAAGCGUGGGUAGCAAACGGGAUUAGAUCCCCUGGUAUUCCACGCCGUAAACGAUGAAUACUAGGUGUAGGGGGUAUCGACUCCCUCUGUGCCGCAGUUAACACAAUAAGUAUCCCGCCUGGGGAGUACGGCCGCAAGGUUGAAACUCAAAUGAAUUGACGGGG